UCGGAUCGUAAAGCUCUGUUGUAAGAGAAGAACGAGUGUGAGAGUGGAAAGUUCACACUGUGACGGUAUCUUACCAGAAAGGGACGGCUAACUACGUGCCAGCAGCCGCGGUAAUACGUAGGUCCCGAACGUUGUCCGGAUUUAUUGGGCGUAAAGCGAGCGCAGGCGGUUAGAUAAGUCUGAAGUUAAAGGCUGUGGCUUAACCAUAGUAGGCUUUGGAAACUGUUUAACUUGAGUGCAAGAGGGGAGAGUGGAAUUCCAUGUGUAGCGGUGAAAUGCGUAGAUAUAUGGAGGAACACCGGUGGCGAAAGCGGCUCUCUGGCUUGUAACUGACGCUGAAGCUCGAAAGCGUGGGGAGCAAACAGGAUUAGAUACCCUGGUAGUCCACGCCGUAAACGAUGAGUGCUAGGUGUUAGACCCUUUCCGGGGUUUAGUGCCGCAGCUAACGCAUUAAGCAC
rnacentral:rRNA from 1 species